UUUGAGAGAGCCUGAAGAAGGGGAGCGGCAACCCCCAACUCCUACCCCUCCCCCCUGCCCAGCUCGAGGCGGACAACGAGAAGCCAGGGGAACUACAGUAGGACUCUAGAGCGCCGAGCGACAAACCACAAAACGCCGGUGUAUGAAAAUGAAACCCUCUUUUAUAAACUCAAGAGGGCAGCAAUGGAGAACAAUGGAAGAGGUGGAUAAUAUUUCAAGUUCUACCCUGUGGAAAUGUGAAAUGCCAGGUACAAAUUUUCACAACCAUAAGUUGUAAUUAUGGAAAAUGAAAAGAUCCAGGAGCCCUCAUCUCUUGCUCUCUUUGGUGUCUGCCAGUAGUGCUGUUGGUUCUCUAGAGCUUAUGCCAGCUGCUCAGCUCCGUUUUUCUCAGUGCCCCCAGGCUUCUAGAGUAUGAUGAAUCCUAUCAGCAAUCCAAGUCAGGGAGAAGGCAGAAGUUGGAAGUUUUAUCCUGAUCCUACCACACUGAUCAAGGGAGAGGACUAUGGUCGAAAGGAAUGAAGGGGAACAGAGAAAGAAAACUUCAUAACCUGGAGCUGCCGCAGCUUCUCCUUUUACCAGACAGCAACCAGAAGAGAACCUGAGACGGAAAGGUUCACGAGAAAACCGAUAACUUUAUCCAAAGAAGAGCUACUUUUUCGCAUCCAUGUUAUAGUGAUGAAUUUGUAUGUAUGUUGACAGCUUUCCCAGAAGUCUUACUUUGGGACUUUGAUAAAAAGUAUAAAAUGCUGCUUUAGAGAGACUCAAGAACUUUUCUACAGGGAGAUUGCUUUGCUGAACGAAUACAGCAUCCUGUCACUGCCCUCGGGGAACACUUCAGAGAAGAUGUGACAUCUGAGUGGCACCUUAAAGGAUAAUGUGAUUAACAGAGAGUUGCCUACUUCACGGUCUUUUUUUUUACCCUUCUUUACUAAAAGCACUCCAAUCUUAUCUCCUUGUAAACAACCAUGUCCUUCAAAGAAGGUUGGGGUCUUUCCUUGCUCAAGGUAAAGAUUAUUCAAGUAAAUCUUGAAUAAUCUAAGCUAUGUUUUUCAAAAUGUGAGCUACAAACCAUUCAUAUCUUGUGAAAUCAAUUUAGUGUAUCCUGAACAGCAUUAAAAAAUGAAAUAUAAUAGAGUAUAACAGAAUGUAUUGUCUGGAUCCUUAGUAAUAACUGUGCAAAAUACAAAAAUACUACAAUCAAAUUCAACUAACAGAGAGAAAGAGAGAUAAUGAGGACUCUAGGAAGUUGAAUCUUCUGGUGUGUGUGUGUGUGUGUGUGUGUGUGUGUAUAAUAUAAAAAGUAUUUCUUACUGUGGCCAUAUUAAAAGUUGGAAAAAGUGAUCAGUGAUCUAAGCCAAUGAUGACUUAUUGGUUUGGAUGUGAAUGCAUGAGGCUAUUUGAGGCAAAGAGACAUAAGGGGGAGUCAGCUUUGGGAAACUUUUUUUCAUUCUUACAAAGGCAUAGAAAGCAUUUCUAGUCACACAAGCUAUCUUGAAUAGUAGUCAUCAUAUUGUACAGCAAGAAUAGGAGGACAAGCUACCUGCUAAGAUUAUUGAGGAAAGACAAAGGAACUGGAUAUUUUCCCCCCACUGUAUUCGUCUAUUCAAUCUCAGUGGCCACAAUCAGACAGAUAGAAAGCACAAGAAUGUAUUUUUUCCUUGUGUCUGUAGUGGAAACCUUAGUAGCAGAUAGUAUCUACUCCAGGUCUGUCAAAUAGAUGCAUGAAAACGAAUAUCUGAUGACAUUAUAAAGCCCCUGAAUGAGCCAACCCUGCAAAUGCCUUUCUGAUGGAUCUCUUGUUUUUUUUAGAUAAUAAAUAACUUUACUGUUUAA